CAUACGUCACAUGCACGUGUAUGGCGACAAGCGACUACUUUCAGCUCUCACUACAGUGCUAAAAUCUCUGCAUCCCGGAAAGCUAAGAAAAGAGAAGGACGUGGUCGAGGAAAAGCCCAAGUCAAAAGUUGACCUAAGGCAGCGGUUGGACUACAGUAAGAGGCAAGGAGACUAUGUGGUCAAAAACAUCUAUGAGAAGAAUCAGGACUACACUUUCAAAAAGAAAGGUGUUGGAGGCUGUCAUACACAGGCGUCGGGAGUUUUGUGGUGGCUAG